UACGAGGGGGGCGAGCGUUGUUCGGAAUUAUUGGGCGUAAAGGGUGCGUAGGCGGUUCCGCAAGUCCUGUGUGAAAUCUUCGGGCUCAACUCGAAGUCUGCACGGGAAACUGCGGGGCUUGAGUGUGGGAGAGGUGAGUGGAAUUCCCGGUGUAGAGGUGGAAUUCGUAGAUAUUAGGAAGAACACCAGUGGCGAAGGCGGCUCACUGGUCCGGUACUGACGCUGAGGUGCGAAAGCGUGGGGAGCAAACAGG
rnacentral:rRNA from 1 species